ACCCAGCUGACGAGUCCCAAAAAGGACGAAACGCAUAUCUCGGAU
rnacentral:hammerhead_ribozyme from 1 species